rnacentral:lncRNA from 1 species
UAAAAGUUCUUUAAAUACUAAGCUAAUGACUAAGAAUUACAUAAGAAAGGAUAAAACAGUCUUUUAGUGCUAAAAUCCACUUCUGGGACCCACUUGGUGAGUGUUUGGGCUGAACUAUGAUGAGAUUCACAUGCUAGGAGACCUCUAGGGCAUUGAACGCUGGCUUGGAGGUCCUCUUUGGGCGUUUGGACGCUGGUCUCCUCCUUGUGGGCGUUGGACGUCAGAAUAAGGCAGGAGGCUGGCGUUGGACGCCAGUUUUGGGCCUUUAAUUCUGAAGCAAAGUAUGGACUAUUAUACAUUGAUGGAAAGCUCUUGAAGUGAGCUUUCCAUAGCUAUUGAGAAUGCUCGAUUUGGAUACUUGUAGCUCUAGAAAAGUAAUUCCGAGGGCUAGGAGGUCAGAUUUGGACAGCAUCUAUAGUGCUUUCUCUGUUUCUGAAUCAGACUUUUGCUCCAACUCCUCAAAUUUAGCCAGAAAAUACCUGAAAUUGUAAAAAAACACAAAAACUCAUAGUAGAAUCCAAAAAUGUGAAUUUAACACUAAAACCUAUGAAAACUUAAUAAAAACUAAACAAAACAUACUCAAAACUAUCUGAAAAUGAUGCCAAAAAGUGUAUAAAAUAUCUGCUCAUCAUAGGCCUUCUAGACAUUUACUGUCCUAGUUUGUGGGAGGCUGUAACUCGAAUAGGAAUCUUGGCAGCUAGACUCAUCGCAUAUUUGUAAAUAGAAAUUAGGAAUACCAACUGGCAUAGUUAGUUAGAGAUUAUAGCUAGGUGGUUAAGUUAAUGACUCUCAUUCCUUUUAUUCAAAACAGCUUGUAAAAACUUGUAUAUAAAUACUAUGUGAAACUAAUGCACCAACCAAUUGAGCAUUUUUCACAUUUACAUCACUCUGAGUUCAACCACCGUUUCUUUCACUAUUUCUCAUCACAUCCUUUCUCAUCUUGCUUCACCAUGGAUGAAGCUUAAUUCCUCAUCUUCAAUUUCUACACCCUCUAUUCUUGGACUUGUACGAUAGAGCUUGAUGAGAGUGUGACCCUCUCUUUAAUGUGUUUCCACACUAGAAAAGCUUUUAACGAAACUAUUUUUUCUUUUAAUUCUUUCCUCAGUUGUUCUGUACACCAUACCACCUUUUCCUUAGAUGUGGCUCCUAAUUAAUCUCUUACCUCAUAUAUCAACUUAACCUCCUCUUACAUCAACCAUCUCAUCUCACAUACUUGUAUCAGUUAUUGAAGUUGUUCUCUUUUUUCAUUCAACAUCUGCUUUCAGCUCUUUUUGAUCAACACCCACCGUGCUCACAAGUAAUGGCGUCAAUAUGUUUGGCCCUAUAGGGCUUUGGCCCUACUUUAUAGGGCCAGAAGAAUAAAAAGCCAUAUAACUAAUAGAGUCAAAUUUUUAAAACGCCCUCAGGGCCAAAAGCCAUUAUGGGCCAAAAGCCCUAGGGCCAACCCACGGGCCACCUAAUCCUCUCUUUUUUUUUAUAUAUUCUCUAUCUCAACGACACACAUAAAACUUAUUAAAAGUCAUUAGUUUGUUCUAUCCCUUUGUCAUUUUUAUACGUAAAAAAAUAAAGAAAUUGAAAAAUAAAUGUUAAUAAUGUGCAUUAAUCAUAUUAAAUCCAACUUUUAACUAUAUACAUCAAGAAAUCAAACAUGACAUUCACUAUCUCAUCACCCUUCUCCUUACUCUUUAGUAUCUACCAUCAAUAAUAUCUCUAGAAAAUAAAAAUAAAGUUGACACAAAAAUUCAUCAUUUAAAAUCAUGAAUGUUAAGGGGGAUGCAUCGUUUCUAUUGACACUUCUUCUUCAUGAAUUUCACCAAUUUCAUCAUCUAAAAUCAACGAAUUAAAAAACAGUUAGAAACUCAAUUUAAAAUAUUAUUUGAAAAAAAUAGCAUAAAUAUUUACCAUCAUGAUUUGGAACAAAUCCACGUAACCAACUUCUUGUGCAAAUAAGCAUUUUGACAUUCUCAUGAAGAGUGAAACUUCUGUAUUUUGUUAAAAUACGUCCAUCAAUACUGAAUGCAGACUCAAAUACUACCGUAGUGAUGGGAAUACUUAAAACAUCUCUGGCCAUAACUGACAGAGUGGGAAACCUAUCCUCAUUAGUCUUCCAAAAAUUCAACACAUCAUACUUCAAAUCAUCAUCAUUGGUGUGAAUCAAACCUUCCUUUAGAUAAAUCUCUAAUUCAUCUUUAUCUUUGGAAGUUUGGGUUUCACAGUCAAAUUCUCUGAAGUCCUAAAAGAUGUAGUAUAAAGAUUAUUUAAGUAACGAAUAAACAUAAUAAGAGAAAAAUAAUACUAUAUUAAAAUUAAAUACCUUCAUCACCAUUUUUCUCUUCUUUGUAAGCCUUCCUUCUUUAGGUGACUUAGGAGAUUGGUUACUACUUUGAGAAAUUAUUGAACCACCAAAAGUAUUUAUAUACUCUCCAUACAACCUUUUAAAUUUCUCCAAUACUUCAUUUGCCUUCAAUUCAAAGGUUGAAGGAUCUAGUUUUUUGUAACAAAACCUCAAGAACUUUAACUUUAAUCGAGGAUCGAGAAUUGCCCCAAAAGCCAAGACAGUGCUAUAAUCCGUCUGAUAUUUAUCAAAAUUCAUCUUCAUUCUGAAAGCCAUGUUCAUAAUAACAACAUGAUGAGCGAAUAAUUUAUACGCUUUUUGGCAUUGUUUUUAAGUAGCUUUCAGUAUGAUUUAGUUAGUUUUUAGUAUAUUUUUAUUAGUUUUAAAUAAAAAUUACAUUUCUAGACUUUACUAUGAGUUUGUGUAUUUUUCUGUGAUUUCAGGUAAUUUCUGGCUGAAAUUGAGGGACUUGAGCAAAAAUCUGAUUUAGAGGCAGAAGAAGGACUGCAGAUGCUGUUGGAUUCUGACCUCCCUGCACUCGAAAUGGAUUUUCUGGAGCUACAGAAUCUCAAUUGGCACGCUCUCAAUUGCGUUGAAAAGUAGACAUCCAGAGCUUUCCAGCAAUAUAUAAUAGUCCAUACUUUGCCCAAGUUUUGACGACGUAAACUGGCGUUCAAACGCCAACUUCCUGUCCUAUUCUGAAGUUAAACGCCAGAAACAGGGUACAAACCAGAGUUAAAUGCCAGAAACAGGCUACAGCCUGGCGUUUAACUCCAAAAGAAGUCUCUAUACAUGAAAGCUUCAAUGCUCAGCCCAAGCACACACCAAGUGGGCUCGGAAGUGGAUUUCUGCAUCAUUUACUUAUUUCUGUAACCCUAGCUACUAGUUUAGUAUAAAUAGAACUUUUUACUAUUGUAUUUUCAUCUUUGGAUGUUUAGUCCCUAGACCUUUGAGGCUGGCCAUUUGGCCAUGCCUGGACCUUCAUCACUUAUGUAUUUUCAAUGGUGGAGUUUCUAUACCCUAUAGAUUAAAGUGUGGAGCUCUGCUGUUCUUCAUGAAUUAAUGCAAAGUACUGUUGUUUUUCUAUUCAACUCAAGCCUGUUUCUUCUCCAAGAUAUUCAUUUGCACUCAAGAACAUGAUGAAUGUGAUGAUUAUGUGACACUCAUCACCAUUCCCACCUAUGAACGCGUGCCUAACAACCACUUCCGUUCUAUAUGCAAACAAGCUUGAAUGUGUAUCUCUUAGGUUUCUAAUCUAAGAUUGGAACCUUCGUGGUAUAGGCUAGAAUUAUUGGCGGCCAUUCUUGAGAUCCAGAAAGUCUAAACCUUGUCUGUGGUAUUUCGAGUAGGAUCUGGGAAGGGAUGACUGUGACGAGCUUCAAACUCACGAGUGUUGGGCGUAGUGACAGACGCAAAAGGAUCAAUGGAUCCUAUUCCAACAUGAUCGAGAACCGACAGAUGAUUAGCCGUGCGGUGAUAGCGCAUUUGGACCAUUUUCACUGAGAAUAUGGGAAGUAGCCAUUGACAACGGUGAUGCCCAACAUACAGCUUUCCAUGGAAAGGAGUAUGAAUGAUUGAAUGAAGGCAGUAGGAAAGCAGAGAUUCAGAAGGAGCAAAGCAUCUCCAUACGCUUAUCUGAAAUUCUCACCAAUGAAUUACAUAAGUAUUUCUAUUUUUAUUUUAUAUUUUAUUUAUAUUUUAAUUAUCAAAACCUCAUAACCAAUUGAAAUCUGCCUGACUGAGAUUUACAAGAUGACCAUAGCUUGCUUCAAGCCGACAAUCUCCGUGGGAUCGACCCUUACUCACGUAAGGUUUAUUACUUGGACGACCCAGUGCACUUGCUGGUUAGUUGUGCGGAGUUGUGAAAAAGAAUUGAGAUUAUGAACGUGCGUACCAAGUUUUUGGCGCCGUUGAGAUCACAAUUUCGUGCACCACAACAUCAUCACAAAUUUGAUUGUCUUCCAAAAGACAUUCAAUUUUUCAAACUUGCAUAAAAUACAAAUUUGAUGUCGGAUAUGAUGAACCCGAAAUGAGGUUUGUAGCUUCAUAAAAUGGCUCUAAAAAUUCACACAUUUUUUUUGCUAAGCUCCAUUCUUCAUUUGUCGGACAAUUUUUAUAAGCUCCAUCUACAACACUAAGGAUGUCAAAUGCUUUUUCAAAUUUAAUUGCACUUUCCAACAUCAUAUAUGUAGACCAAUACCUUCUUCAAUUUUUGCUCGCUGCACACAAUCUUUAAAUUUCACCAUUCUCCCAUCAGAAGCUUUCACAUAUUUCACACUCUCUCUGAUUUUAAAUAAAGCUUCAGCAGCCACCUUUAACCCUUCUUGUACAAUCAAAUUUAAAAUGUGAGCGGAGCAACGUAUAUGAAAAUAUUCUCCAUCACAAAGCAAACUAUUCUGCUUACGUAGAUGAGUUUUUAAGAUGUUUUGCAUGUUGUCAUUUGCAAAAGCAUUAUCUAAAGUAAUAGAAAAUACUUUCUUAUCAAUACCCCAUUGCUUUAAAGAAUUAAAUAAGACUGCUUCCAUAUCAGUUCCAGUAUGGGGAGGAAUCAUUCGACAAAAAUUCAAAAUCUUACUCACUAGUCUCCAAUUCUCAUCAACAAAAUGAGCUGUCAGACAAAUAUAUCAUUCACUGGUAGAUGUUGUCCACACAUCAGAUGUCAAACAAAUUCUAUUAGGUAUCCUAGACAUCUUCUGCUUCAAUUUCUCUUUCUCUAUUGAAUAAAUCAUUUUAAGAUCUGAAACUAAAGUAUUUCUAGAAGGCAUUACAAUCGUUGGACUAAUGUAAUUAAUCCAAUCUCUAAUACCCUCAUACUCAACACAGCUAAACGCAAGAUCAUGUUUUGUUAUAGCCUGAGCGAGUUUUUUCCGAUGAAUAUUCUGAUCAAUUUUGGUUGGAAGACCCUCUAUAUCAUCAUCAAAUCUAAUACUGAGUGGUAUGGAUUUACAAGAAACUAUAUGACGACUCAGAUGAGAAGUCCCGUAACCAUUCUUAGUUUUCGGAUUUUUUUCAAUUUUGUAUUCAUGAUUACGAAAAUUGCAUUGGGCCUUUUUAAUACCAUCUCUGUCUUUUCCAAUCUUCUUAAAAAACCUCCAAACAUUAGAUUUUUUGCCGGAAUCAACACCACCAGAAGAUUGAAUAGUAGUCUCAGAAACACUCUCAUCAUCCAUGUUUAUAAAUUUCCUAAUCAUAUUCAAAUAAUGUGUAUAGGUCAUUUGUAGCAAUACUCUCAGCAACACUCUCAUCAUCCAUGUUUAUAAAUUUUCUAAUCAUAUAUAAAUUUUCUAAUCAUAUUCAGAAACACUCUCAGCAACAACAACAUUCUUAAAUAAUGCAUAGGUCAUUUGUAGCAGGAAACAAAGUUUUGAAUAAAAAUAAAGCUUUAUUUUCUUUCAUAUUAUUGAGUGGAAGUCUCAAAAGCCAAAUGGGUGCUAAGAUACACACUCAUCAUCAUUAUCAUUUAUGUCCAAAAGGCAUACUUUGAAAGACUUUGUAAUUUAGGCUUUAGCAUUCAAUUAUUGCCUUUUUAUGCUACAGUUACCAAAAAAAAAAAAGAUUCAUAUGCUAAUGACUUUUUAUUUUAAUUGCUAAUGAAUUGAAGUUUCGCCACAAGUCAAUGUUACACUUUACACGUAUAUACCUGAAUGAGAAUGUGUGCUUAAUUUGAAUGAAAAAUCUGACAUAUUUUAAUGUUUUAGAAUUCAAAUAUACUAUAGCCUAUAGGCCUAUAGUUGCAAACACAAAUGAAUAAAUAAAACAAAUUAAGAUUCAAGAAAUAAGAUGCAUUAUUUCUCUUAAAGAACAAAUAAGAUGCAUUAUUCAAGACAUUACAGACAUUCCAAUAUACAUAUAUAUAGAAAGUGGAGACUCAAUCCUUUGUAUAAAACAAUCAUAUGGUAAUAGCAAACAACAGGAAAUGUAAGUAACUUUCUCUUAAAGAUAAUCCUAACUAACAAAGGGAAAAUUCAAAAUGAAACUACUUUUGCACUCUAUGCAUUAUUUCUUUUUCAUUUUCUUUAUUACUACAAGUAAUUGAUUAAGAUAAAUUGACAGAACUAAAAAGUGUAAUUAGGAGGAAAAAGGAAUAAUCCUCCAAAUUAAAGGGUUGAUGUCUUUCCUGGUUUCCUUUAAUUUUCAUCUACAAUUGGCUGUUCUAUGAAGCCAAACAUCUCUCGAUAACACAUGGUGACAAGUUCAUAGAUGGAGUCAUAGUAGCAGAGCAAUGUAACCAAUGAUAUAAGCACAUUGAUGAUGAAAAACCCUAGAAAUUGACCAACGACGAUAAGCCACAAGAGUGCUUCAAAUGCAAUCACACCUAAACCUUGGAACUGAGUAGUAGUUAAGGGUACAUAUAGUUUGAAAUGAUGAUUAAUUAUGAGGUGUUGAAUCUACCGCAGAGUUGUGCCUCUUAGAAGGUCCUGAAGGUGGAACGGGUAUCCCUUUUGGGAAGAAAUUGAAAACAAGUUCAUAGUUCACAGUUCCAAUUCACAGUUCACAAGUCAUAGUUCAACCAUUUUGAAAUCACAGAGAGGGACAGAGAAAAGGUGGCCAUAGACCACCCACCUCAGUUUAUUAACAAGAGAAUUAAAAUGGGUGAUGCAAACAAGCAAAAAAGAAACUUAGAGAGGGACAAAAAAUGAAGAAACCUACCGCUGAUUCCGCGUGGGGGAGGAGAAGCAGCCACUGAUUCCGCCCACUGCGUCAAGAAGGAAGAGCACCGUAUUAGGGAAGAGGAGCAGCCACCGCGUUGUCCAUUGGGUACAGCCACCGUCGUAGGAGGAGCAGAGCGCAGAAGUCAGCCACCGUCGUAGGUGGAGCAAAACACAGAAGUAGAAUGCAGAGGAGGAGGAAAAGCACAGUGCUGUUAAGAAUGGCAAACGUUGA